CCUACGUGCGGCAGCAGUGGGGAAUAUUGGACAAUGGGCGAAAGCCUGAUCCAGCCAUGCCGCGUGUGUGAAGAAGGCCUUCGGGUUGUAAAGCACUUUCAGUGGGGAAGAAAGCCUUGGGGCUAAUACCCUCGAGGAAGGACAUCACCCACAGAAGAAGCACCGGCUAACUCCGUGCCAGCAGCCGCGUAAUACGGAGGGUGGGAGCGUUAAUCGGUAUUACUGGGCGUAAAGCGCGCGUAGGCGGUCUGAUAAGCCGGUUGUGAAAGCCCCGGGCUCAACCUGGGAACGGCAUCCGGAACUGUCAGGCUAGAGUGCAGGAGAGGAAGGUAGAAUUCCCGGUGUAGCGGUGAAAUGCGUAGAGAUCGGGAGGAAUACCAGUGGCGAAGGCGGCCUUCUGGACUGACACUGACGCUGAGGUGCGAAAGCGUGGGUAGCAAACAGGAUUAGAUACCCGAGUAGUC
rnacentral:rRNA from 1 species